ACAUCGACUGCCCCCACAACAACUGGGAGUGGAAUGGCUAUAGCCUUGCAGUGCUUCAACUGCAGAGAUGAACGUUGUUUGAGUCCACACACCAAGACUUGUGGCCCAGGGGAGAGGUGUAUAACAGCUUUUAUCAAUGCUACCACGGGCGGACGUAUUAUAACCCAAAUCUACAAGGACUGUGGUGCAUUGUCUCUGUGUCAGAAAUCAGGCCUUCAGACUUAUUCAGCAAACAUGGGGUUCCAAAGUGUAAUUGCAUCUGCUGAGUGUUGUGACUAUGACAUGUGCAACUCAAAAACUCUGAAACCGCCCCCUGCACAAAACAUAGAAAACAAUCACAGAUGUUUUAUUGUGGAUCAGGAAACUUCACAACAGGACUCAACAGUAAAAUGUUCGGA